rnacentral:rRNA from 1 species
CCAAUAGCGUAUAUUAAAGUUGUUGCAGUUAAAAAGCUCGUAGUUGAAUUUCGGAAUCAAUAUAUCGGUCGUGCCUUGGUACGUACUGGUAUCAUUGGUUUCUCCUUUCUGACGAACCAUGAUGUCAUUAAUUUGGUGUUAUGGGAAGUUAGGACUGUUACUUUGAAAAAAUUAGAGUGUUUAAAGCAGGCUUUAGCUUGAAUACAUUAGCAUGGAAUAAUGAAAUAGGACGUUCGAACCUAUUUUGUUGGUUUCUAGGAUCAACGUAAUGAUUAAUAG